rnacentral:tRNA from 1 species
GUUAAUGUAGCUUAAAUAAAGCAAAGCACUGAAAAUGCUUAGAUGGAUUUUUAUUAUCCCAUAAACA